UCUUUCUCUCUCUUUCUCUCUCUCUCUCUCAUUCUCUCACUCUUUCAUUCUUUGUUUCUUCUUGCUUUCUUGCCCAGGCUGAAGAGCAGGGGCUCAAUCUCAGCUGACUGCAACUUCAGGGUUCAAGCAAUUCUCCUGCCCAGUCUCCUACGUUUCUGGGAUUACAGGAAAAUGGUCUCAGACAUCACACAAGCCUUCCAGAAAGAACCCAUCUGCCUCUUCUGUCUGAACUAACUCGUAGACCCCGUCACCACAGGCUGUGGCCCCAGCUUCUGUAGGCCCUGUCUCUGCCUUUCCUGGGAAGAAGCCAAAAUUCCUACCUGCUGCCCACAUGCGGGGAACUGUCACAGCAGGAGGACGUCAAAACCAAUAUUCUUCUGAAGAAUCCAGUGUGCAUUGCCAGAAAAGCCAGUCUCUGGCAAUUCCUGAGCUCUAAUGAAUAAACGUGUGGGAGCCACAGGGAGAAAAAAAGAUAUUGGAGUGGUGGAUAAGAGCCUCCUUCAUUUGCUGUUCUGGAACACUCAGGAGCACGGGGCUCCCAGACACCGUGAGGGGCAACUAAGGAACACUGGGAGACGAUAAUGAAGCAAAUGAGAUCUUUUUGGGAAAAAAUUCAAGAAAACCAAAGAAAGUUAAAUGAGGAGAGCAGGAAAACCAACUAGUGGAUUGAGUGAGUCAGAGCAGUGGCACAUGCCCCAGUGUGUGAGCUCAGAGCUCAGUGCUCAACCCAUCACUGGACUAAUGGACAGAUUUCAUGACUUCCAGAGCUGGGGUUUCUCCAUGUUGUCCAGGCUGGUCUUGAACUCCUGACCUCAGGUGAUCUGCCCGUCGUGGCCUCCCAAAGUGCUGGGAUUACAGGUAUGAGCCACCACUCUUGGUCUCAGGCAUGGUUUUACUACAGCCAAUUUUUUAUUCUUUAUUAAUCUUUCAUCUAAUAAAAGGGAACAGACUGUAAAUAGCAUUUAUAAACAUACUUAGUAAUACAUUUCUUAUGAUCAUAUGGAAAAAAUAAAUGAAAGCUGGUGUAAUGGUAAAUGUCAUUCUGUUUCCUUUUGAGUCUGGGCCUUUUGGGUCUG